CCCCCCCCCCCCAAUCGAGGCACAGGGAUCCCGGAUGCAGUGCGGCUCCUAACUUCUAGUGAUGUCAGUGGGAGUUGGGAACCUUCACGGAGCUGGGCCGGGGUGACGCUCCGCGGAUGACUUUACUCCCAGGAGGAGGAGGGUGAUCACGGUCGGGGAGUAAUAAAUAAAGAGCAGGCGGAGGGGCCCCGCUCCCGCAGUGGAGCAGAGCGGCCGCUUACCAGCUGCUGGAAGGCAGGUUGGUCCAGGUCGCUCUGCAAUGCGAAUUCACUGAGCGCUUUCCAAGGCGGCUGACAUAGAAUUGGUCCCUGGGAGCUGAUGUAUCCCGCACGAGGGAGCGUGGAGCAGAGGGGAGGUGCUGUCACGCACUCACACAGACAUUGUCUUCACCAGCGCUUGUUCUGGAACCAGACCCGGAUCACUCUGGGGCUCAGGCCGGUCAUCUCCACCAGCUGCUCCUUCAUCAGCGCGUCCGGCCGCGGGUUGGCCGCGUAGCAGGUCCGCAGCGUGUGCAGCUGCUUCUCGUUCAGCACC